rnacentral:rRNA from 1 species
CAGCAGCCGCGGGAAUACAGAGGAUGCAAGCGUUAAUCGGAAUUACUGGGCGUAAAGCGCGCGUAGGUGGUUUGUUAAGUUGGAUGUGAAAGCCCCGGGCUCAACCUGGGAACUGCAUCCAAAACUGGCAAGCUAGAGUACGGUAGAGGGUGGUGGAAUUUCCUGUGUAGCGGUGAAAUGCGUAGAUAUAGGAAGGAACACCAGUGGCGAAGGCGACCACCUGGACUGAUACUGACACUGAGGUGCGAAAGCGUGGGGAGCAAACAGGAUUAGAUAACCCCUGUAGUCCCUGUCUCUUAUA